AUUUGAGUGAUGCUAUCAUUUCUGAAUGUCUAAUCAGGUGCUUGAAAACCCUCUUUAUGCUCCUCAUUUUGGAAAAUGCUUCUUGCUGAACUUCCUGAAAGGGCAAAGGAGAGCAGCAUAUAUGGUGCCCAACUGGGGAUUUGUUCAAAGAGUUGAAAAAUCAGGCCAAGCUGCUUCUCUGGAACCAAGACAAUCCAGCGGACUUUCUUGAAAGUGAUGUCAUUUCAGGCUAAUUGCCACAUGUGGAUCUACCUUAAAAGGUGGUUACUUGCCUUUUGAAACCUACAUCAGAUCAGUUUAUCUUUCAAAGGGUGACCAUAAGCCUCUCAUCUUCAAGGGAGUUGAUCCCUUGAAAAAUGCAAGGUUCUUGGGUAUCACAUCCCAGAUGAUUUGCAUGUCUGGGAGGGGCCAGCAGCCAGCUGUGUGGUGGUGGUAGUGGAGGAGGCCCAACUUUUGGAAGAAACCGUUUCACUUUAAUCAGAAAGCCACUGGUUCAUCAUCACCACCACUGUCAUGCCCCAAUUUGGAACGACAAAAUUCCCUUCUCCAUAAUCCUUGCAUAAUGUAACAAUAGAUUGUAAGCUCCUUGAAGACAAGAUCUGGGUCAUUUAUUGUAUUUUCCAGAAGACUAGAAUAAUGAACUGUAGUGCAUUACUGUUGCUCACUUUAAGGGCUCAAUAAAAUUCUACUGAAUGAA